rnacentral:rRNA from 1 species
AGCGAACGCUGGCGGCAGGCUUAACACAUGCAAGUCGAACGCAUCCUUCGGGGUGAGUGGCAGACGGGUGAGUAACACGUGGGAACGUACCCUUCGAUCUGGGAUAACUUCGGGAAACUGGAGCUAAUACCGGAUACGCCCUUUUGGGGAAAGGUUUACUGUCGAAGGAUCGGCCCGCGUCUGAUUAGCUAGUUGGUGGGGUAACGGCCUACCAAGGCGACGAUCAGUAGCUGGUCUGAGAGGAUGAUCAGCCACACUGGGACUGAGACACGGCCCAGACUCCUACGGGAGGCAGCAGUGGGGAAUAUUGGAAAAUGGGCGCAAGCCUGAUCCAGCCAUGCCGCGUGAGUGAUGAAGGCCUUAGGGUUGUAAAGCUCUUUUGUCCGGGACGAUAAUGACGGUACCGGAAGAAUAAGCCCCGGCUAACUUCGUG